AAAGAGCAGAUGCUCCUACCAGAUUAAUAAAAGAUUGUAUCUGUUUUGACAUUAGACCCACCGCUCAAAAUGUGAAGGUGUUUCUCCUCUGUGUCACAGUUUCAUGCUCAGGUCUUUUGCCUGUUAAUUUUGGCAUCAAAAGAUUUUUAUGUAUAAUCUUUAGACUAAAGCAGUCACCUAAGUAUAUUUUUAUAUACUUAUUUGGUUCAUUUGUUUUUUAUUCUUUCCUUUGUCAGGCAUAUUUAUUUUCUUGCUCAAGAUGUAAAACAGUAGACUAUGGGUGACUAAUCCAGAAUCCUCAUUUCACCCACAAGGAAAUUAAAGCCCAGAGAUUAAUUAAAAGGCCCACUGAAGGUCAGUCAGGCAGUAAAUAGCAGACUCGGGACUAGAAAACUAGUCCAAAACUGUCCUCCAUGCCAUAACUGGGAAGAUUUGGAUUUUGAAAAUUAAUGCACCUGGUAAAUGACACCUGGCUAGCAGAAGCCCCCAUUGAAUUUCUCCCACCUUCCCAGAAAGCACUCCUGAAGACCUAGAAGACCAA